rnacentral:misc_RNA from 1 species
UAAGAGGCGAUAUGUAAUGUGAAUCGCAACUAACAGUGAAUCAUCAAAUCUUUGAACGCAGGCCGCACCUUGCUGUAUGACAUCGUCUUACAGCAAGAUAUCCACGUAUGAGUGUCAGCCAAAUCCAAUUUUGGUUCAUGAGGGGAACGCUUAUGGCGAUCAAUUAAUGAAUGCACUCGUGUCUAGCGACAUAUCUUGAAGCCAUUCACGGUGUCUGGCCUCAUAUGUGGAAGGUUACCCGCUGGAUUUAA